rnacentral:rRNA from 1 species
UACGUAGUUAGCCGGUGCUUUUUCUGCAGGUACCGUCACUUUCGCUUCUUCCCUACUAAAAGAGGUUUACAACCUGAAGGCCGUCAUCCCUCACGCGGCGUUGCUGCAUCAGGCUUUCGCCCAUUGUGCAAUAUUCCCCACUGCUGCCUCCCGUAGGAGUCUGGGCCGUGUCUCAGUCCCAGUGUGGCCGGUCACCCUCUCAGGCCGGCUACCCGUCGUCGCCUUGGGUGAGCCAUUACCUCACCAACAAGCUGAUAGGCCGCGAGUCCAUCCCCAACCAAAAAAUCUUUCCACCACCAGACCAUGCGGCCAGUGAUCAUAUCCAGUAUUAGACGUCGUUUCCAACGCUUAUCCCAGAGUCAGGGGCAGGUUACUCACGUGUUACUCACCCGUUCGCCACUAAUCCACCCAGCCAAGCCUGGGCAUCAUCGUUCGACUUGCAUGUGUUAAGCACGCCGCAGCCGUUCGUCCUGAGCCAGGAUACAAACCGUCUCUGAGACGUGACCG